GAGCCGGCUCCUCUGCGCCCGCCCUCCCGUCCGCGCCGCGGCCUGUGUCCCCGACGUGAACGCGUGGCUGGCGCAGCUUGCUUCCCUCCACCCGCUCCACUGCCUCGACCGCUCGGGCCGAGUUCCCUCCUCUCCAGAAGCUGAAAACCUAAAAUGGUGAACAAUUAAGUGAUUUUCUUACAAUAACAUUAAAGAUGAGUGCCAGAACUGAAAUGCAGGUUCUCUUUUACAUACAUGUACAUGUCUGCACAGGAGAUGUCUGUGAGACCAUGGGUUCUCUUCACGCAGCUGGGACCUGAGACAGAUCACUGGAACACUCUGGGUCUGUGUUUUUCUUGAUUGGAAGAGGGAAUUUUGAACUUGAUGCCAUUUCUGCUCUGACCCUUCAUAUGGUGGGUGAGGAUAAUGGAAACAAGGAGAAUGUGGCAAACCCAAACCCAACAUUCUUCUGACCCAUAUGGAAUCACAAAACAAUGCAGAAACAUGACUGUUUAAACUGAGUGAGGAAAACACAGCAUCUGAAGACACAGACUGCCAAGUUGAGAACUUUGUCUCCUCCAAGCCCAGGUAGCUUAAUUUUUCCCUGUGGCCAGGACUCCUGCUGACACUUCCAGCCGUCCUCAGAAAAGCCAUUGAGCUACCCUUGGGUUGAAUGAAUGAGAACUUUCUGGAGAGCGGAAGACUGGUGGAGGUCCAGCUGGAAAAACAUAUGGCCGCAGAGGCAGAAAGAGCGCUUCUUCAGGAUUGUGAGUUGUAUAAAAAAUGUCUGCAGGCUCAAGACAGCCGUUACAACCUAAGAUCUUACUAAGCGUGAUGGAUGUUCUUACUUCUAGGACGGCCUCCAAUGUACCUGGACCGAAGCCAGCGCUGCAUCCUCAGGCGCCCCUAGGGAUCGUGUGUGCAGGGCGGCACCACCCCACAGCCCCCUCUGAGGUCAGGAUUCCACGCCCGCCCCCUGCCUCCCUCCCACUCUCCACUCCCCUACCCUCGGUGGAGCCCAGUAGAUGGCAGCCCAUUGUGCCUUCUGAAAGAAAACAAAGUUUGCAAAUCACUGUAGACUGUCUUAUAAUAGGUAGGUCAGGAGGGAAAAUGACUAUGGUAAAUUCUCGUCUUAACCACACAUGACCUCAGCGCAUUUUUGAGCUGCACAGUGACACAGAAUGAACUGAAGGAGAAAAGCCAGGCAGUCUGGGUUCCAGACCAGGACACCGCGAGGAGCUGACUUUUACAGGUAAAGGCACAGCCUUGAGGCUUAAUAGCAGUGCCUCCCUGCCCAAAACAGCGGAAGGCCAUAUGUGAUGAUUCUCCAGAGUAAUUAUCUCUUAUUGCUAGUAACCAUUCAUGUCUGUUACUGAGCUUUAAAAACAUUUUGUAUGGAAUGCUAUAUCCCUUACAAAAGAUAAAUUAGGAGGCAGUCAUUCAAAAUGAUUAAAAAAAACUUUGUGAAGUUUGUAAUUCGACUCUUUUUGACCCCGUGGACUGUAGCCCACCAGGCUCUUUGGUCUGUGGAAUUCUCCAGGCAAGAAUACUGGAGUGGGUUGCCAUUCCCUUCUCCAGGGGAAUCUUCCCAACCCAGGGAUUGAUUGCAGGCAGAUUCUUUACCAUCUGAACCACCAGGAAAGCCAAAAAAAAAAAAAAAGAAGUAAGUUCCUCUAGAAUACUUACAUAGUAUUAGGCCUUAAGCACUAUAACCAGUACAUAUUUUAAUUUUUUUGCCACACCACACAGUGGCAGUGGGAUCUGUUUCCCAACCAGGGGUUAAACCUACGCCCCCUGCAGUGCAAGCAUGAGUCUUAACCUCUGGACCACAACAUAACUCCCAACACAUCCCUUUUAAAGAUGCACAACACAGAUGGCAUUGGGAAGGUAGACAUGUAUACCCCUUUUGUCCUCAACUGUGGCCCUCAUGGUGUAGCCAAAGCUGAUACCACAGUUUUUCUUCAACAGACAAUAAGGUCUCCUUUCAACUUCUCAAUGGAUGUUUCACACCAUUUUCCUUAUGCUGUGACAGUUGUAGAAGCAGCAAUGACCAUAGUCACAAAAUUCAGGGCCUGAUUUUAUUACCCCAUCAUUAUGACAAUUAUCCUUCCAGUUUUCUCUUUACCCAUGUACACACAUUUUCAAAGCACAUAUUUUCAUUACUGGACAGAGAAAGGCCAAUAGGUCAGUCAUACACACUCCAAGCUGAUAAAGCAAUGUUCUUAACUUAGAAUAAAAAGAAGCAAAUUACAGCCCUUUAUGCUUAGGCUGUGUUUUUCCUUUUAAUAACUGAAAGCUAAACCCAAGAUGACCAAUGCAUUUUGCGUGGGUGUAUGUACAUAUCUGUGUAUGUG